CUGGAGUGGGGGAUAACGUAGCGAAAGUUACGCUAAUACCGCAUACAAUCUAGGGAUGAAAGUGGGGGAUUCGCAAGAACCUCAUGCUCCUGGAGCGGCCGAUAUCUGAUUAGCUAGUUGGUGGGGUAAAGGCCUACCAAGGCAUCGAUCAGUAGCUGGUCUGAGAGGACGACCAGCCACACUGGAACUGAGACACGGGCCAGACUCCUACGGGAGGCAGCAGUGGGGAAUUUUGGACAAUGGGCGAAAGCCUGAUCCAGCAAUGCCGCGUGAGUGAAGAAGGCCUUCGGGUUGUAAAGCUCUUUUGUCA
rnacentral:rRNA from 1 species